rnacentral:rRNA from 1 species
GGCAAUGGACGAAAGUCUGACCCAGCCAUGCCGCGUGCAGGAAGACUGCCCUAUGGGUUGUAAACUGCUUUUAUAUAGGAAGAAACACACCUACGUGUAGGUGUCUGACGGUACUAUAAGAAUAAGCAUCGGCUAACUCCGUGCCAGCAGCCGCGGUAAUACGGAGGAUGCAAGCGUUAUCCGGAAUCAUUGGGUUUAAAGGGUCCGUAGGCGGUCUGAUAAGUCAGAGGUGAAAUCCUGCAGCUCAACUGUAGCAUUGCCUUUGAUACUGUUAGACUUGAGUUAUUGUGAAGUAGUUAGAAUGUGUGGUGUAGCGGUGAAAUGCAUAGAUAUCACACAGAAUACCGAUUGCGAAGGCAGAUUACUAACAAUACACUGACGCUGAGGGACGAAAGCGUGGGUAGCGAACAGGAUUAGAUACCCUGGUAGUCCACGCCGUAAACGAUGGAUACUAGCUGUUCGGAUUUAUCUGAGUGGCUAAGCGAAAGUGAUAAGUAUCCCACCUGGGGAGUACGUUCGCAAGAAUGAAACUCAAAGGAAUUGACGGGGGCCCGCACAAGCGGUGGAGCAUGUGGUUUAAUUCGAUGAUACGCGAGGAACCUUACC